ACAUGCUUGAUAUUUAUAAUGUUUUAAAAUGUUAGUAUGUAGUAACCUAUGUGUGGGGCAAGUUACUAGCUAGCUAUGCUAACGGCUACAGCCAGUCGACCGAGCCUUUGUCCCCUUCAAAUGUGCUCAUGUGGGCUCCUGCAGCCACACACCUGUGUGGAGAAAAGCUAAUGGCUAACGGCAUCGAGCGGCUACAGGCAGGGAGCGGUGGGUCUAGCGUCUGUCCUUUUUUUCUGUAAUCACAUACACCUGCGGGGAACAGCUGAUCGUUAUCGCCCUUCCAGCGGCGACAGACAGGAAGCAGUGGAUCUAGCUCGCUGUAGUAAGUUUGUGCUUGAUACUUGUGAUAUCUAAAUAUGUUAGUUGGGUCUGUAUAAAAUGCAGUAACCCACGUGUGAGACAAGCUAAUCGCUAGCGUCGCUAACGGCUACAGUGAGUCAACCGAGCCUUUGUCCCUUUCAAAUGUGCUACUCUGAGUUGGUGCAGUCACACACCUGUGUGGGGAACAGCUAAUAGCGAUGGGCCUUCGAUCGGCGACAGGCAGGAAGCGGUGGAUCGAGCUUUUGUCCUGUUGACGUGCUGCCGCUCCUGUUUGUGUUGCGUUAGCCGUUAGCAUGUCUUUAGGCCUUUGCACUUUAGAGCUACAGCUGGUCGAUCGCUACAAAAAGAACCUGCAGAUGAACGUGGUUAUGUUUGUUAUUACCCCGUCCUGUGUCAGAGCCUAAAUCAACUUGUGAUUUGGGGUUAUGUCAUUGUUCUAUCAAAUUCUAACAUGAUUAGUUGGAAUGAUUACUGUGUUGUGUUGCAAGCUUAGUUGCUAAUUAGUCACAUCUCUACAAUAACUGCUGCUUAUCUGGUCAGUAACCUACAGCUUGUACCAUAGCCAUUAUAUUUGUAGGACCAAUACAAUUUACAGUAAAUGUAACAGUCUUUUCUAUACUGUAGGGAGCCACAUCCCAGUUACCUACAUGGAAGGAGGCUGUGAAACAGAAAUCACUGCAGACUGUUGGUACACGGACAUCUGCUGCCCAGCUCAGGAGUGAAGUACCUUUUUGUUUUGAUGAGGUGAUGGUGAGGACAGCCACAGCUUCCAUCUGGUAGAGGACUGCUUCCGCUCAGUCUUUCAAAUAGUGAUGAGAACAAGGAUCACCACAUCUCCCUGUUUACCCUACUUUCAUGCAUUUUGUCUGCAAGGCCCUGCAAAAGCUUCUGUCCUCAAACCCCCAGACGUCUUAAUUAACUCAGUAACCUAUACAUUGCACAUUGGAGUGUGAAGGUAACAGUUUGUUCUAGCUUUGGAGUAGUGGUGCAUUUUUUUGGUUUACAAUAAAGUUGGCUUUAACUAUUA